UUACAGAAUGUCUUGUUUGGAAGAGAAACAUGGUCAAUCUGACAGACUCCGUUCCCACGCCACGUUGAUGGCAGAGGACCAUAUCCGUUGUCGCUGAAACUUGGGUGUUCGGGCCAAACGCCUGUUCAACGAAAUGAGGACUUGAAUGAAGAAAUGCUAGAAGAUUCUAUAUAUACCUUCCCAGGACUGGAGCCAGUAAAUCAUGGUGAGAAUUUGUGGCUGACUCAAGAUCACGAAGGGAAGGAUUUGGACCGUGAGAAUGUUCUCCCAAGUAUACAAUAUAGGU
rnacentral:sRNA from 1 species